rnacentral:rRNA from 1 species
UACGUAGGGUGCAAGCGUUAAUCGGAAUUACUGGGCGUAAAGCGUGCGCAGGCGGUGAUGUAAGACAGUUGUGAAAUCCCCGGGCUCAACCUGGGAACUGCAUCUGUGACUGCAUCGCUGGAGUGCGGCAGAGGGGGAUGGAAUUCCGCGUGUAGCAGUGAAAUGCGUAGAUAUGCGGAGGAACACCGAUGGCGAAGGCAGCCCCCUGGGCUGAGAUUGACGCUCAGGCACGAAAGCGUGGGGAGCAAACAGG